AGAGCCUUUCUCCUUGCAGUGGAUGUGGGUGAUACAAAACAACAGGCACCACGAUGUCCCACACCAUAAUCAAGUAUAAAAGGCUGAAGUGCCGAGAAUCGUGCCCCAGCAAACCAGCUGGUUCCUGAGAGCUUUUAGUCAGCUCAGAACUUUGAAGGGUUUCUCAGGAGAUCAAAGCUGGAGGAGUUGCGUGCCUGGGUCCCACUACAGACCUAUGAUGACAUCCGUCACAGAACCAGGAAAGAUGCAGAACCAAGAAAGAUGCAGAGACAGGAGGGAGCCUACAGGAGCAGAGAUGUCUCAGCCUUCCUAACUCCCGCUGGAUCCUGCAUCUCAGAUCGUGUGUAGAUUGAACAGUUGAGGCCUGCCACUAAUCUCUUGAAUCCUUAUUA
rnacentral:lncRNA from 1 species